rnacentral:rRNA from 1 species
UGGGGGAUAUUGCACAAUGGGCGAAAGCCUGAUGCAGCGACGCCGCGUGGGGGAUGAAGGCUUUCGGGUUGUAAACCUCUUUCGCUAUCGAACAAGGCCCGCUUAGGGUGGGUUGAGGGUAGGUGGAGAAGAAGCGCCGGCUAACUACGUGCCAGCAGCCGCGGUAAUACGUAGGGCGCGAGCGUUGUCCGGAAUUAUUGGGCGUAAAGGGCUUGUAGGCGGCUUGUUGCGCCUGCUGUGAAAACGCGGGGCUUAACUUCGCGCGUGCAGUGGGUACGGGCAGGGUUGAGUGUGGUAGGGGUGACUGGAAUUCCAGGUGUAGCGGUGGAAUGCGCAGAUAUCUGGAGGAACACCGAUGGCGAAAGCAGGUCACUGGGCCAUUACUGACGCUGAGGAGCGAAAGCAUGGGUAGCGAACAGG